rnacentral:rRNA from 1 species
CAGCAGCCGCGGGAAUACGGAGGGUGCGAGCGUUAAUCGGAUUUACUGGGCGUAAAGCGUGCGUAGGCGGCUUUUUAAGUCGGAUGUGAAAUCCCUGAGCUUAACUUAGGAAUUGCAUUCGAUACUGGGAAGCUAGAGUAUGGGAGAGGAUGGUAGAAUUCCAGGUGUAGCGGUGAAAUGCGUAGAGAUCUGGAGGAAUACCGAUGGCGAAGGCAGCCAUCUGGCCUAAUACUGACGCUGAGGUACGAAAGCAUGGGGAGCAAACAGGAUUAGAUACCCCGGUAGUCCCUGUCUCUUAUAC